rnacentral:ncRNA from 1 species
AACAGUAGAGGUGCGAUUACUAUAAGUAUUUUCUUAGAGUGGAUAACGUUGAAGAGAAAGGAAAGGAGUGAUUGCCGAAAUCGAAUAAAAGUCAUUUUAUUCGGUUGGUUGCGUGUUCGAAAGGAACGUGACUGUCAUAGUUUUAUGUAUUAACUAUGGAGUGCUACGGU